UACGUAGGGUGCAGGCGUUAAUCGGAAUUACUGGGCGUAAAGCGCGCGUAGGCGGCUACUUAAGUCGGAUGUGAAAGCCCUUGGCUCAACUGAGGAAGUGCACCCGAAACUGAGUGGCUUGAGUACUAAAGAGGGUCGCGGAAUUCCCGGUGUAGAGGUGAAAUUCGUAGAUAUCGGGAGGAACACCGGUGGCGAAGGCGGCGACCUGGGUAGAUACUGACGCUGAGGCGCGAAAGCGUGGGGAGCAAACAGG
rnacentral:rRNA from 1 species